rnacentral:rRNA from 1 species
GCUCGCCAGAGAAUUACUAGCAAAAAGCUUAAAACUCAAAGGACUUGACGGUGCUCCACAGCAACCUAGAGGAGCCUGUCCUAUAAUCGAUGAUCCACGUUUAACCCAACCCUCCCUUGCAACCCCAGCCUAUAUACCGCCGUCGCCAGUCAGCCUUGUGAAAGCCCACACAGCCAGCACAACAACCACCCCGCCAAAACGUCAGGUCAAGGUGUAGCUGAUGGGGGGGGUAGAGAUGGGCUACAUUUCCUUUCACAGGAAACCCACCACAAACACUGUGAAAAUCAGUGUUAAAAGGCGGAUUUAGCAGUAAGACCGGAUUAGAUUACCCAAACUGAA